rnacentral:tRNA from 3 species
UCAGCGCGGGGUAGAGCAGUUUGGUAGCUCGCAAGGCUCAUAACCUUGAGGUCACGGGUUCAAAUCCUGUCUCC